UUCAAGACUGAAAAACUAUGUUCCAGUGUAACAGAGGUCAAUUUGUCCGCCGCUCACGGCCCUCGAACCCGCCACGUCAACACACCGGCAUGGG